rnacentral:rRNA from 1 species
GGGGGGACGGAGAAGGCUAGGUGGGCCAGGCGACGGUUGUCCUGGUUCAAGUGCGUAGGCUUGAGAGUUAGGUAAAUCCGGCUCUCUCUAAGGCUGAGACACGACGUCGAGCUGCUACGGCAGUGAAGUCAUUGAUGCCAUGCUUCCAGGAAAAGCCUCUAAGCUUCAGAUAGUCAGGAAUCGUACCCCAAACCGACACAGGUGGUCGGGUAGAGAAUACCAAGGCGCUUGAGAGAACUCGGGUGAAGGAACUAGGCAAAAUGGUACCGUAACUUCGGGAGAAGGUACGCUCUUGAUGGUGAAGUCCCUCGCGGAUGGAGCUGACGAGAGUCGCAGAUACCAGGUGGCUGCAACUGUUUAUUAAAAACACAGCACUGUGCAAAAUCGCAAGAUGACGUAUACGGUGUGACGCCUGCCCGGUGCCGGAAGGUUAAUUGAUGGGGUUAGCGCAAGCGAAGCUCUUGAUCGAAGCCCCGGUAAACGGCGGCCGUAACUAUAACGGUCCUAAGGUAGCGAAAUUCCUUGUCGGGUAAGUUCCGACCUGCACGAAUGGCGUAAUGAUGGCCACGCUGUCUCCACCCGAGACUCAGUGAAAUUGAAAUCGCUGUGAAGAUGCAGUGUACCCGCGGCUAGACGGAAAGACCCCGUGAACCUUUACUACAGCUUGGCACUGAACAUUGAACCUACAUGUGUAGGAUAGGUGGGAGGCUAUGAAGACGUGACGCCAGUUGCGUUGGAGCCGUCCUUGAAAUACCACCCUUGUAUGUUUGAUGUUCUAACUUAGACCCAUUAUCUGGGUUGAGGACAGUGCCUGGUGGGUAGUUUGACUGGGGCGGUCUCCUCCCAAAGAGUAACGGAGGAGCACGAAGGUGGGCUAAUCACGGUUGGACAUCGUGAGGUUAGUGCAAUGGCAUAAGCCCGCUUAACUGCGAGAAUGACGGUUCGAGCAGGUGCGAAAGCAGGUCAUAGUGAUCCGGUGGUUCUGUAUGGAAGGGCCAUCGCUCAACGGAUAAAAGGUACUCCGGGGAUAACAGGCUGAUACCGCCCAAGAGUUCAUAUCGACGGCGGUGUUUGGCACCUCGAUGUCGGCUCAUCACAUCCUGGGGCUGAAGUCGGUCCCAAGGGUAUGGCUGUUCGCCAUUUAAAGUGGUACGCGAGCUGGGUUUAGAACGUCGUGAGACAGUUCGGUCCCUAUCUGCCGUGGGCGUUGGAAGAUUGAAGGGGGCUGCUCCUAGUACGAGAGGACCGGAGUGGACGAACCUCUGGUGUUCGGGUUGUGUCGCCAGACGCAUUGCCCGGUAGCUAAGUUCGGAAUUGAUAAGCGCUGAAAGCAUCUAAGCGCGAAGCGAGCCCUGAGAUGAGUCUUCCCUGAUACUUUAAGUAUCCUAAAGGGUUGUUCGAGACUAGAACGUUGAUAGGCAGGGUGUGUAAGCGUUGUGAGGCGUUGAGCUAACCUGUACUAAUUGCCCGUGAGGCUUAACCAU